rnacentral:misc_RNA from 1 species
CUGCCCUCCAGCCCGGCUGGUGUGUUGGGCCCCGUCCCCCUUCCCGGGGGGACGGGCCCGAAAGGCAGCGGCGGCACCGCGUCCGGUCCUCGAGCGUAUGGGGCUUUGUCACCCGCUCUUGUAGGCCCGGCCGGCGUCAGCCGACCCCCUCAAUCUAUUUUUUCA